GACGAACGCUGGCGGCGUGCUUAACACAUGCAAGUCGAACGAUGAAGCCUAGCUUGCUAGGUGGAUUAGUGGCGAACGGGUGAGUAAUACGUGAGUAACCUACCUUUAACUCUGGGAUAAGCCCGGGAAAACUGGGUCUAAUACCGGAUACGACCAAUCUCCGCAUGGGGUGUUGGUGGAAAGCGUUAUGUAGUGGUUAUAGAGGGCUNUCACGGCCUAUCAGCUUGUUGGUGAGGUAACGGCUCACCAAGGCGACGACGGGUAGCCGGCCUGAGAGGGUGACCGGCCACACUGGGACUGAGACACGGCCCAGACUCCUACGGGAGGCAGCAGUGGGGAAUAUUGCACAAUGGGCGCAAGCCUGAUGCAGCGACGCCGCGUGAGGGAUGACGGCCUUCGGGUUGUAAACCUCUGUUAGCAGGGAAGAAGAGAAGAUGACCGGACCUGCAGAGAAAGCGCCGGCUAACUACGUGCCAGCAGCCGCGGUAAUACGUAGGGCGCGAGCGUUGUCCGGAAUUAUUGGGCGUAAAGAGCUUGUAGGCGGUUUGUCGCGUCUGCUGUGAAAGGCCGGGGCUUAACCCCGUGUAUUGCAGUGGGUACGGGCAGACUAGAGUGCAGUAGGGGAGACUGGAAUUCCUGGUGUAGCGGUGGAAUGCGCAGAUAUCAGGAGGAACACCGAUGGCGAAGGCAGGUCUCUGGGCUGUAACUGACGCUGAGAAGCGAAAGCAUGGGGAGCGAACAGGAUUAGAUACCCUGGUAGUCCAUGCCGUAAACGUUGGGCACUAGGUGUGGGGGACAUUCCACGUUUUCCGCGCCGUAGCUAACGCAUUAAGUGCCCCGCCUGGGGAGUACGGCCGCAAGGCUAAAACUCAAAGAAAUUGACGGGGGCCCGCACAAGCGGCGGAGCAUGCGGAUUAAUUCGAUGCAACGCGAAGAACCUUACCAAGGCUUGACAUAUACUGGACCGCAUCAGAGAUGGUGUUUCCCUUCGGGGCUGGUAUACAGGUGGUGCAUGGUUGUCGUCAGCUCGUGUCGUGAGAUGUUGGGUUAAGUCCCGCAACGAGCGCAACCCUCGUUCUAUGUUGCCAGCACGUUAUGGUGGGGACUCAUAGGAGACUGCCGGGGUCAACUCGGAGGAAGGUGGGGAUGACGUCAAAUCAUCAUGCCCCUUAUGUCUUGGGCUUCACGCAUGCUACAAUGGCCGGUACAGAGGGUUGCGAUACUGUGAGGUGGAGCUAGUCCCUAAAAGCCGGUCUCAGUUCGGAUUGGGGUCUGCAACUCGACCCCAUGAAGUCGGAGUCGCUAGUAAUCGCAGAUCAGCAACGCUGCGGUGAAUACGUUCCCGGGCCU
rnacentral:rRNA from 1 species